AUCUGGGGUCCCUCUAGGUCAAUGUUCCCGGCUUUUCUGCCCCCAGAGAAGUCAGGGCAUGUUCUCUUCUGCUUCUUUGAUGCAAAUCAGUCCUGGAGCAAGGUGUCCAUUUUCUAGCAAUUGGUUUUGACACCUUCUUACCUUGACCUGCUUUUUGUUUAGAGAGCAUUUCUUGAGCGUUUACCAUGAGAUCAGCAAGUUAAGAGUAUUGAACACGGGAAACAGUCUGAGUUAAAAAUCCUUGCGUUCACGUCUCCUCUCUGGAUUACUAGCCUUGCUCACCAGAUAACGGGUG
rnacentral:lncRNA from 1 species